GGCGGAUAGACUGCAGUCCCCCGGAGCUGCGCGCCGGAAGUGCUCGCCCGGCCCCGGCGCAGGGUCCAAGAUGGUGGCGCUAGGACCUGGAACCACGUGAUAGAAUCCGUGGAGGGGCCCUGACCGAGCGGGAGGCUGGGGGUGGCGUGGAGGUGAGACCCCGCUGUGUUCACAGAGCUGGGGGCCCCCCGGCGCCUGCGUCUUCCAGGGAGCGAGGAAUGGAGCAGAGCUCUGGAGGCAGACCCUAGACUCCUGCUUCCUCUGGAUGGGGAGAAGCCUGGGGGACCUCAGGAGGAGAAAUUCAAGAUGCUGCAGGAUGUGGCUGUGAAUGAAUCACAAAAGGAUGCUGGGCUCCAGACCUAUACUCAGUGGGAUCGCUACAAGGAAGAGACACUAGAUAAGGAGGCAGAGCUGGCCUCACUGGAUUCUGAAACCAUGAAUAAGAUGAAGGAAUGGAAAUCAAAGACGGAAAUUUCUGAAGAAAAGAAGUCAUCGGCCGGGUGUGGUGGCUCAAGCCUGUAAUCCCAGCACUUUGGGAGGCCGAGGCGGGUGGAUCACAAGGUCAAGAGAUCGAGACCAUCCUGGUCAACAUGGUGAAACCCUG
rnacentral:lncRNA from 1 species